GACGAACGCUGGCGGCGUGCUUAACACAUGCAAGUCGAACGAGAGUUAGAUCGAAUGAGUUUUCGGACAAAUGAGAUUUAACGAAAGUGGCGAACGGGUGAGCAACACGUGAGCAACCUGCCUUACACAGGGGGAUAGCCAUUGGAAACGGUGAUUAAUACCCCAUAAGACCACAAUACCGCAUGGUAAAAGGGUAAAAGGGAUACCGGUGUAAGAUGGGCUCGCGUCUGAUUAGCUAGUUGGUGGGGUAAAGGCCUACCAAGGCGACGAUCAGUAGCCGGUCUGAGAGGAUGAACGGCCACAUUGGAACUGAGACACGGUCCAAACUCCUACGGGAGGCAGCAGUGGGGAAUAUUGCACAAUGGGGGAAACCCUGAUGCAGCGACGCCGCGUGAGCGAAGAAGGCUUUCGAGUCGUAAAGCUCUGUCCUAUGAGAAGAUAAUGACGGUAUCAUAGGAGGAAGCCCUGGCUAAAUACGUGCCAGCAGCCGCGGUAAUACGUAUGGGGCGAGCGUUGUCCGGAAUUAUUGGGCGUAAAGGGUACGUAGGCGGUUUUUUAAGUCAGGUGUCAAAGCGUGGAGCUUAACUCCAUUAAGCACUUGAAACUGAAAGACUUGAGUGAAGGAGAGGAAAGUGGAAUUCCCAGUGUAGCGGUGAAAUGCGUAGAUAUUAGGAGGAAUACCGGUGGCGAAGGCGACUUUCUGGACUUUUACUGACGCUCAGGUACGAAAGCGUGGGGAGCAAACAGG
rnacentral:rRNA from 1 species